GGAGGCGUUCCUCGUCUGGUGACGGGCGCGGUCCUCAAAACCGUAGUGGCCGAGCAUCUCGGUCAGGCGGGUUCGAUUCCCGUCCGCCUCCGCCA
rnacentral:tRNA from 6 species